rnacentral:rRNA from 1 species
GAUGAACGCUAGCGGCAGGCCUAACACAUGCAAGUCGAGGGGCAGCACAGAAACAGCAAUGUUUUGGUGGCGACCGGCGGACGGGUGCGUAACGCGUAUGCAACCUACCUUUAACAGGGGGAUAACGGAGAGAAAUUUCCACUAAUACCCCAUAACAUCGAUCAAGGCAUCUUGAUUGGUUGAAAACUCCGGUGGUUAAAGAUGGGCAUGCGUUGUAUUAGGUAGUUGGUGAGGUAAUGGCUCACCAAGCCUACGAUACAUAGGGGGACUGAGAGGUUAGCCCCCCACACUGGUACUGCGACACGGACCAGACUCCUACGGGAGGCAGCAGUGAGGAAUAUUGGUCAAUGGGGGCAACCCUGAACCAGCCAUGCCGCGUGCAGGAAGACGGCUCUAUGAGUUGUAAACUGCUUUUAAACAGGGAUAAAGCACAGUAUGUAUACUGUGUUGAAGGUACUGUAAGAAUUAGGAUCGGCUAACUCCGUGCCAGCCGCCGCAGUAA